rnacentral:lncRNA from 1 species
AUUCCGGGAGUUCUCCACUACAGGCUCACCUUUUGAAGGUUUUGAAAACAGUAUCUACCAUGACUGUAGCUCUCGCUAUCAUGUGACCUGGUCUCAGGCUGUCUUGACUCUACAGAGAUGGAAGGAUGGACUCAGGCAUGAAGAGGAGCCAGGCUCUUGUACACCAGACCAAGGAGCUUCAUCACAAGGAAGUGUCUAUGGAACAGAGACCAACUAUGGAGCUGAGACAAGAAAGGGGACCUACUCCAAGGGAUGUUCAUCUUUCCCACAUGAGGGCACAAACUCUUUUUCAAAGGGUGAAUGAAGAGGAAAAGAAAGAAGUUUUCAGAGCUGGAAUCAUUCUAUUAAUGAUGAAGUCAUUUUGCCGUCUAGAUUUUGUUAGUAUUUAGGCAGCCUGCUUCUGGUUUGGCUAGCAACCCAUGAUGUCAUCAUGUGUCACCCACCAGGUAGCCACACGUGGAAGGCAUUGUUAAGUUUCUCCUUAAAAGGGUCAACCCACCACUUUGUCGCUCUCUUGCCCUCUCGUCUCUUGUCUUCUUACCUUCUUGCCCUCU